rnacentral:tRNA from 1 species
AUUAGGGUCUGCUACACAAGCAGUUGGGCCCAUGCCCCAAAAACGGAAUAUCAAACCCCCUAAUA